UGGGGAAUUUUGGCCAAUGGGGGAAACCCUGAUCCAGCCAUGCCGCGUGAGUGAAGAAGGCCUUCGGGUUGUAAAGCUCUUUUAGUCGGAAAGAAAGAGUUGCGAUGCAAUAAUUGUGAUUUAUG
rnacentral:rRNA from 1 species